rnacentral:lncRNA from 1 species
GUAACACAGCAUGGUGGGGAAUUCCUGCUAGUGGUGUGAACAGAGCUGAGAGAGUAGCAAGCAGGGGAACGCCUGUCCUCUGGGCUUAGGGAAGGUUUCACAGCCUGGUUGCGUUGGAGUGAGUCUGCAAAGGAUGAAUAAAUCAAGGCACAGAGAAGUUACGGGACUUGGCCAAGGAGAGAUACAGGUGGUGGAACAGAGAUUCAAACUCAGGAAGUUAGCCACCAUGUUUUCAGUCAGCCCUGCGGUGGGGAACAGAGGGAGGCCUUCAGCUAACAGCCAGUGGGAAACAGAGGCUUUUAGUCCAACUGCCCACAAAGAAUUGAGGCCUGACAACAACCAGGUCUCGAAUCUUUUUGAAGAGCUGCUGGAGUUGGUAUUUUUAGGUGUGAAUCACCGUCUGGGCCACGCUGCUUCUCCUCUUCCUGGGUGCCCCUGCCCAACAGCUGGUCAGUCCUGGAAGCUGCUCCAGACGCUCCUGCACUUCUGCUGACACUGCACUGCUUAUUUGCAGAGCUGGAGAUAUGCCUGCAGAAGGAAUAAAAAUUCCUAUUUUAUAAUCACAUGUAGAAGGAGAAAUAUUUCCAUGUUCUACCUCCCGCCUACCCAGUCUGUGAUCAAGUUCAGUCUGAAAGAUGGAAGUUUAGAGGAAAACAGAAGUUGCUUGCAGUAACAAGAAGGCCAAAUCGCAUGCCUGAAGAAAUAGACCUGGUCUAAAGGCACGAGCUCUUGAGUUUAGAAAGAAAAGUUCUAUGGAGGUGUGGCAGGUGGGGAAAUUCCAAAGGACCGUGUAGCCAAAAUGAAAGGGAGCUGUGAUCGUUUUGGACGUCUGUCAAUAAACCCAGAAUGGCAGAUGAGGGGAGAAGUCAAGAAGAGUGGUGAGCAGUGAAGAUCAAAUGAAUUCAAGGCUCCUAUGAUGAAAGAACGGCUUGUUUAUAUCUGGGUGCUGGGCUAGAAGCCCAAUUAGUUCCCUUACCCCCAUCUUUUUUUGCUAAUUCCUUUUAAGAAAAGCAUUUUGGUGGACCUGCCUGAAUAAAUGAAAGAGACUAUCACAGCUUCAUGAAGCACAUACAAUCAGCAAAAUGAAUUUCUCAGUCUCUUUUUUCCCUUAUUCCUCUCUUCUCUCCUCUCUCUCUUUCUUCUCCUUCUCUUCUUUCUGCUUCCUCCUUUCUCUCCAUCUCCCCUCCAUUUUCCCCUUCAAAAAUAUUUACUAGCCUCUUGCCCCAGCCUCCUUCUGUGCUGAAAGGAGACACAAACAACCCUUCCAAAAGGUGGGGUGGAGGCUUGAGGAAGCUCUGUGACAAGAGGACAGUCUGCAGCUCUUGUGAAUCGUUUUGUCUUUAGCUGCACCAAACGCCAUAGAUAUACACUCUUUUUUAAUUUAAAGGCUCAUUGUUUCUAGACUGGACUUUUCAACAUUUAUUUUCCUCUCUAAUAGAGUCAACCCAAUAGACUCACGUCCUUCAUCAUCAAGGAAGAAAACAUUUACAUUUUCUAAAGGUAUAACUUACUAAUAACCCAGGGUGGUUUUAAAUAGAGAAGUGCUAUUGGGGCUCUGUUGUGUGAAAGGAGCAGUCAAGACCCCUGUCCUGGCCAGCUGUGAAACCUGUGAUUGAUUUCUGAAAAAAAGUUAAAGGAGAUCAUGUAAGAAGUAACAGAAAUAAAUUGAACACACAUGUGCAAUCAUUAUUCAUAGGAGCAUUCUCUGUAUUACUUCAUAACACAGCUGUAUACACAAAAACACAGUUCCCUUCGCUUCUUCCUAUUGGAGUCUUAUUAAUUUCUGUUUAAUGAAACACAAAUGUUUGUGCGCUUUAUUUUGGGGAACGUGGUCUAGUUGGUUAUUUGUUAAGCACUGGCCAGAGUGGCUGUGCCCAUCUGAUACAAAUGUCUGUAGGCCUUUCAGAGCCCCUUGACAGGGCAUCUUUUGAGCAUGCCAGUUGCCAUGGUCACCAGUGUGCUGAUUUGCAAGGAAAAUUGGAAGCCUGCUCAUUACGUCAAAAACUACAUUGGGGGAUAAAGAGAGCAUGUUUGCUUCAAAAGUUGGCAACUGGGGUUUGUUAGCUUCCCCGCCCACACACUUCCAUCAAACAAUGUCUCAUUCAACAGCAUAAGUCAAAGUUUACAACGCCCAUCUAUCCAGCUGGAAUAGGCCUGAGGAGUGUGAAUGGAAAAUCAUCACUCACAGAAUCACAGCACAGGCUCACGGGCCAACCUGUUCUGGUGACUUUGCAAGGACAGUAAAGGAAGACGGAUGAGUAGCGGAGUGGGAAGCAAUGACAACCUGUGUUCUUGGCACCAACUAGAUGUUGGAUGUGGCUUGCAACAUUUUGGAUUUGCUUCAUCCAUAAAAUGAGGUGGUUGAGAGAGCAUCUGUAUGAUCCCUCUCAUCUCCCAAACUCUGUGAUUCUAAAACACAUUCUUUAUGCUGAUACAUUCAUAUUAUGUGCCCAGACACACACAUAAGGCUUUACUUUAUUUGUUUUUAAAUGCUCACUGAUUUGACAGCAUGAAUGGAAUGCCCUGAGGUGUGGAUAUGAAAUCAAUCCCAUCCCCCAAGACAGUUGCCCAACCUGCAUAGUUAGCAUAGUUACAGUAGCUUGAGAAGUCACCUUAUCACACUCUGAUUUAAUCACCUAUGAUUCCGUUUCCUGGCGGUAGUGAUUGUCAUCCACACUGAAAUAAUCGAAAUGUUACCUGUAAUGCAUUCCAAUUCUUCUUAUCAUUUCCUUUUGGUUACCUUACAAGAAAAUUUAUGUCUAGGGGUAAUUCUAAAGUUCAUAUUUUACAAGUAGAUGCUUAUAUAAAUAUAUAUAUAUAUAUAUACAUUGCUGAGUAUCUGUUCUGCGCUGGAUGCUUUUAUAUCAAGAGAGGCUAGGUAAUUUUCCCAAAGUCUCUCAGCUGAUUGGCACAGCUUGGGUUUGAAUACAGAUCGUUUUGAUGUCAAAACUCAUUCUUUUCUUAUCUCCUAGGCUGCCUCUUUUCUUCUUCCUGCCAAUCUUCACUUAGACAGCCCUGGAAAUCAGAGUGGGAGUAGAGAGUCUUACUAAAAGGGAUAAAUCCACGAAAAUUUGUAAGCCCAAAUGGACUUUUUCGAGAAAAAAGUAAAAUUACACUGAUUAAGGGGUGUAUUUAUGUAUAUGCCUAAUACUAAAAAGUGACUAAUAUCUAGAAAGGACAAGCCAAAAAGUUAAUAAUUUUUGUCUCUAUUUCAUUAAUUAAGCUAAUUAUUUAAGUGAAACUACUGAACUUUGAAAGCUUGCAUAUUGUAUCAGGAAACUAAAUUUAUCCAUUGACACCCGUGAGAGAGGAAUAAGGUCGCAUUAUAGCUGUUUUGGAGGUUAAAGAAAGUAAGGUGAGGCUGACAAAGCUACACGUAUCGAUUCACCUGUGUGACUACGUUUUUUUUUUUUUAGUAUUUUCAGGGUUAUUUUUCUCUCAUUGUAGGAUUAUUUAAGAAUCAAAUAAGUUAAUGGAUAUGAAAUUGGGUUGUAAAAUGAAAUAUUUAAGCAGUGUUAAUUGCUAUUAAACAAACAAAUAUUUGUUCUUACAGAUGUGUAUAUAGCGUGUGUGCCAGGAGCAAUUCUAAGAGCGUGAUUCUCCCAAGGACCCGAAGAGGUAGUUAUUGCUAUUAUCUACCUUGUAUAAAUAAGGAAAGAGAAGCCCACAGCUCAGUACUAACUGGUGGAGUGCAUCCCUCUAUGACCUUGGUGUAGAAGACUGUUAUAAAGCCUUACGGAUCCCAAAUAUAUCACAGCUGACUUCAUUAUGGUUUUCAAAUUAUUUAGUAAAUUGCUUCAGUUUUAUUACCUCUGUAAAAUUUGCCUUACUGUAACUACAAUAAAGUCUUGGCCUCCUUUCCCUGUUCUAAUUCUAA